AUGCGUACGAUUAGGCAGCAGGCGGGUAACGGCCCACCUGGCCAACGAUCGUUAGGGGUUCUGAGAGGAAGGUCCCCCACACUGGUACUGAGACACGGACCAGACUCCUACGGGAGGCAGCAGUGAGGAAUAUUGGUCAAUGGGCGCAAGCCUGAACCAGCCAAGUAGCGUGCAGGACGACUGCCCUAUGGGUUGUAAACUGCUUUUAUGCGGGGAUAAAGUGGGCCACGCGUGGCUUAUUGCAGGUACCGUAUGAAUAAGGACCGGCUAAUUCCGUGCC
rnacentral:rRNA from 1 species